UAACACGUGAGCAACCUGCCCUUCACUCUGGGAUAAGCGCUGGAAACGGUGUCUAAUACUGGAUAUGAGACGCAACCGCAUGGUUAGUGUUUGGAAAGAUUUUUUGGUGGAGGAUGGGCUCGCGGCCUAUCAGCUUGUUGGUGAGGUAAUGGCUCACCAAGGCGUCGACGGGUAGCCGGCCUGAGAGGGUGACCGGCCACACUGGGACUGAGACACGGCCCAGACUCCUACGGGAGGCAGCAGUGGGGAAUAUUGCACAAUGGGCGGAAGCCUGAUGCAGCAACGCCGCGUGAGGGAUGACGGCCUUCGGGUUGUAAACCUCUUUUAGCAGGGAAGAAGCGUGAGUGACGGUACCUGCAGAAAAAGCGCCGGCUAACUACGUGCCAGCAGCCGCGGUAAUACGUAGGGCGCAAGCGUUAUCCGGAAUUAUUGGGCGUAAAGAGCUCGUAGGCGGUCUGUCGCGUCUGCUGUGAAAUCCCGAGGCUCAACCUCGGGCCUGCAGUGGGUACGGGCAGACUAGAGUGCGGUAGGGGAGAUUGGAAUUCCUGGU
rnacentral:rRNA from 1 species